UUCCUGAUGUUUAGUUGGAAUCUCCUUUCUUGUAACUUGAAUCCAUUGGUUCGGGUCCCACCCUCCAGAGAAGGAGAAAACAAGCUUGCUCCAUGUGGCAGCAAUUCAGAUAUUUGAAGAUGGCUAUCAUAUCUCCUCUCGGUCUUCUCUUUUCCAGGCUAAACAUGCCCAGCUCCUUCAACC